AACGCACGAGACCUGCGGACCUGCGGAAGGAUCAUUACCGAGUUAGGGUCUUUUGGCCCGACCUCCAACCCUUUGUUUAUUAUACCAUGUUGCUUUGGUGGGCCUGCCUUUCGGGGCUGCCGGGGGCAUCACUGCCCCUGACUCGUGCCUGCCAGGAGCCUUCUUAAAUUCAGUGUUCAACGGUGCUGUCUGAGUCCCAGUAUCAAAAUAUCAAAAACUUUCAACAACGGAUCUCUAGAU
rnacentral:misc_RNA from 1 species